rnacentral:rRNA from 1 species
CAGUAGCCGCGGUAAUACGGAGGGUGCAAGCGUUAAUCGGAAUUACUGGGCGUAAAGCGUGCGUAGGCGGCUUCUUAAGUCGGAUGUGAAAUCCCUGAGCUUAACUUAGGAAUUGCAUUCGAUACUGGGAAGCUAGAGUAUGGGAGAGGAUGGUAGAAUUCCAGGUGUAGCGGUGAAAUGCGUAGAGAUCUGGAGGAAUACCGAUGGCGAAGGCAGCCAUCUGGCCUAAUACUGACGCUGAGGUACGAAAGCAUGGGGAGCAAACAGGAUUAGAUACCCCGGUAGUCCCUGUCUCUUAUAC